rnacentral:rRNA from 1 species
GAUGAACGCUAGCUACAGGCUUAACACAUGCAAGUCGAGGGGCAGCGGUAUCGAAAGCUUGCUUUCGGUAGCCGGCGACCGGCGCACGGGUGAGUAACGCGUAUCGAACCUGCCUCAUACUCGGGAAUAGCCUUGCGAACGUAAGAUUAAUGCCCGGUGUUUUCAGAGUCCCGCAUGAGGCUUUGAACAAAGAUUUAUCGGUAUGAGAUGGCGAUGCGUCCCAUUAGCUUGUUGGCGGGGGUAACGGCCCACCAAGGCAUCGAUGGGUAGGGGUUCUGAGAGGAAGGUCCCCCACAUUGGAACUGAGACACGGUCCAAACUCCUACGGGAGGCAGCAGUGAGGAAUAGUGGGCAAUGGGCGGAAGCCUGAACCAGCCAAGUAGCGUGCAGGAAGACGGCCCUCCGGGUUGUAAACUGCUUUUAGUUGGGAAUAAAACGGGGCUCGGGAGCCCCCUUGCAUGUACCAUCAGAAAAAGGACCGGCUAAUUCCGUG